rnacentral:lncRNA from 1 species
GGUUUGGACUCCGUGACAUUUGCUUUCGUCAUAUGCGAGUUAGGGGCUUGCCGACAGGUAAACCGCCGCUGUACUUAGAUGAGUUGAGAUUUACACAUCAAUGCCAGCUCACAAAGCAUCUAAUACGGCAAUCAGCCAGCCACCUCCGCAGAU